GCCCACCCGGAGGUGCACCCGGUCCUCGACUGACCGGCCGGGCGUCGCGGGGGCGGGCGGCGGUUCAGCUCCGCCGGUGGGCC
rnacentral:tRNA from 1 species